GACGAACGCUGGCGGCGUGCCUAAUACAUGCAAGUUGAGCGCUGAAGGUUGGUCCUUGUACCAACUGGAUGAGCAGCGAACGGGUGAGUAACGCGUGGGGAAUCUGCCUUUGAGCGGGGGACAACAUUUGGAAACGAAUGCUAAUACCGCAUAAAAACUUUAAACAAAAGUUUUAAGUUUGAAAGAUGCAAUUGCAUCACUCAAAGAUGAUCCCGCGUUGUAUUAGCUAGUUGGUGAGGUAAAGGCUCACCAAGGCGAUGAUACAUAGCCGACCUGGGAGGAUGAGCGGCCACAUUGGGACUGAGACACGGCCCAAACUCCUACGGGAGGCAGCAGUAGGGAAUCUUCGGCAAUGGACGAAAGUCUGACCGAGCAACGCCGCGUGAGUGAAGAAGGUUUUCGGAUCGUAAAACUCUGUUGGUAGAGAAGAGCGUUGGUGAGAGUGGAAAGCUCAUCAAGUGACGGUAACUUCCCAGAAAGGGACGGCUAACUACGUG
rnacentral:rRNA from 1 species